GGUUUGGUCCUAGCCUUACUAUUAAUUACAGCUACACUUACACAUGCAAGUCUCAGCACACCCGUGAAAAUGCCCUCUGAAACUAUAAAGUGAUUGAGGAGCGGAUAUCAGGCACAUAUGCCAAAGACAUCUUGUAAAACCACACCCCCAAGGGAACUCAGCAGUGAUAAACAUUGGAAAAUAAGCGACACAAGCUUGAACCAGUAAAGGCUAACAGAGUUGGUAAAUCUCGUGCCAGCCACCGCGGUUAUACGAGAAACUCAAGUUAAUAAAUACGGCUUAAAGGGUGGUUAGAGAACAAUUAUUAAUAGAAUUUAAAACUAGCUCUGCUGUCGCACGCAAUAGGUAAACAGAAACCCAAUAUCGAAAGAAAUUCUAACAAAAUAAACUUGAACCCACUACAGCUAGGAAACAAACUGGGAUUAGAUACCCCACUAUGCCUAACCAUAAACUUUGAUUAAUCCGCCAGAAUACUACGAGCAACAGCUUAAAACUCAAAGGACUUGGCGGUGCUUUAAACCCACCUAGAGGAGCCUGUUCUAUAAUCGAUAAUCCCCGAUAAACCUCACCAUCAAUUGCUAAUUCAGCCUAUAUACCACCGUCCAGCCCACCCUUUAAAGGAUAAACAGUAGGCACAACUGCAAUCACAAAAACGUCAGGUCAAGGUGUAGCUAAUAAGAUGGGAAGAAAUGGGCUACAUUUUCUAUACUAGAAAAAUACGGAAGAUCUUAUGAAACUAACUUAUGAAGGAGGAUUUAGUAGUAAAAAAGGAUAAGAGUGCCUUUUUUAACAUGGUAAUAAAGCGCGUACACACCGCCCGUCACCCUCUUCGCCCA
rnacentral:ncRNA from 1 species